rnacentral:rRNA from 1 species
AGAGUUUGAUCCUGGCUCAGGACGAACGCUGGCGGCGUGCCUAACACAUGCAAGUCGAACGAAACUUUUUGCUUCGGUAGAAAGUUUAGUGGCGGACGGGUGAGUAACGCGUGAGGAACCUGCCUUUCAGAGGGGGAUAAUGUCUGGAAACGGACACUAAUACCGCAUGACAUUUUCUGUUCACAUGGACAGAAAAUCAAAGGAGCAAUCUGCUGAAAGAUGGACUCGCGUCCGAUUAGCUAGAUGGUGAGAUAAUAGCCCACCAUGGCGACGAUCGGUAGCCGGACUGAGAGGUUGAACGGCCACAUUGGGACUGAGACACGGCCCAGACUCCUACGGGAGGCAGCAGUGGGGGAUAUUGCACAAUGGAGGAAACUCUGAUGCAGCAACGCCGCGUGAAGGAAGACGGUCUUCGGAUUGUAAACUUUUGUACCUAGGGACGAUAAUGACGGUACCUAGGCAGCAAGCUCCGGCUAACUACGUGCCAGCAGCCGCGGUAAUACGUAGGGAGCGAGCGUUGUCCGGAUUUACUGGGUGUAAAGGGUGCGUAGGCGGCCAAGCAAGUCAGCUGUGAAAACUAUGGGCUUAACCCAUAGCCUGCAAUUGAAACUGUUUGGCUUGAGUGAAGUAGAGGUAGGUGGAAUUCCCGGUGUAGCGGUGAAAUGCGUAGAGAUCGGGAGGAACACCAGUGGCGAAGGCGACCUACUGGGCUUUAACUGACGCUGAAGCACGAAAGCAUGGGUAGCAAACAGGAUUAGAUACCCUGGUAGUCCAUGCUGUAAACGAUGAUUACUAGGUGUGGGGGGUCUGACCCCUUCCGUGCCGGAGUUAACACAAUAAGUAAUCCACCUGGGGAGUACGACCGCAAGGUUGAAACUCAAAGGAAUUGACGGGGGCCCGCACAAGCAGUGGAGUAUGUGGUUUAAUUCGAAGCAACGCGAAGAACCUUACCAGGUCUUGACAUCCAACUAACGAAGCAGAGAUGCAUUAGGUGCCCUUCGGGGAAAGUUGAGACAGGUGGUGCAUGGUUGUCGUCAGCUCGUGUCGUGAGAUGUUGGGUUAAGU